CAAAGCGCUGUCUGCCCUCAAGAGCUGAGCGUGGCAGAGGGAAUCCAGUGGUGGUAAGGAGUCACAUCUACAGAACUAAUGUUGGGGACUGAGUGUACACAGUGACUAAAAUACAAUGCUUUUAAGGAACGUUGAGAGAGAAAUUCUUCUUGGUCCUUUGCUUUAAAGCAUAAUCAAAGCAGAAGAGAUUGUGUUCCUUCUGUGGGUGAGACAGCACCAUUCUGCAUUUACUUCAUGUAGCCAGAGUGACUCUGCACUGGCUGUGGCACCUCCUUUUAACUGAAGGCUUCAAGUAUGC